rnacentral:rRNA from 1 species
AUAUUGGACAAUGGGCGAAAGCCUGAUCCAGCCAUGCCGCGUGUGUGAAGAAGGCCUUAGGGUUGUAAAGCACUUUCAUCUGCGAAGAGAAUGACAGUAACAGAAGAAGAAGCUCCGGCUAAAUUCGUGCCAGCAGCCGCGGUAAUACGAAUGGAGCGAGCGUUGUUCGGAAUCACUGGGCGUAAAGCGUGCGCAGGCCGCUAUGAAAGUUAGGAGUGAAAGCCCCGGGCUUAACCCGGGAAUUGCUCUUAAAACUCCAUGGCUAGAGUACUGGAGAGGUUGGCGGAAUUCCGAGUGUAGAGGUGAAAUUCGCAGAUAUUCGGAGGAACACCAAUGGCGUAGGCAGCCAACUGGACAGUAACUGACGCUCAUGCACGAAAGCGUGGGGAGCAAACAGG